UCUAGUUCGGAGUGAAGUUGAUUAACCAGCUUGGAGAGUAGGACGGCUCCACAGAGCUCAAGUCUGCGGAGGCUGACUGUUUGCAGGGGGGCUACCUUACUUUUAGCUGCGAGUAUGUGUGACGACCAGGAGUUUUCGUCAAUUUGUACUCUGAGGUAGACACAGGCGCAAUAAGCUUUUUCAGAGGCGUCUGAAAACCCAUGAACUUGUACCCGGUGAGUAGGGGAGAAUUGCACCCAGCGGGGAAUAACAAUUUCAUUAAUCGCGGGGAGGUUUUCGCGCAAAGUGUUCCAUUUUUGGAAAGCGCCGGCGUUUUUGUAGAGCUAGUGUCCUGAAACUGGAGAAAAUCAACAUCAAGGACCUCGGAAUCUGGGACUGAUUCCAGGAUUUUUGGGUGAUUUGAGGUGAUUUUUCGUAGUGGAAAACCUGCUGAUUUUAGGGCGUCUUUAACUUGAGAUAAUGAGCUUAUAGUGGACUGUAUAUUAUGCCCGCCUGAGAGAAUAUCGUCCACGUAUGUUUCGCGUAGGAGGAUAUUGCUGGCGAGCGGGAAUUCGUUUUGACAAUCCUGCGCUAACUGAUGAAGAGUACGGAUCGCGAGAUAGGGAGCGCAAUUGACGCCAAAGGUGACUGUUUUCAGCCUAAAAUCUUCUAUGGGCUUAUUUGGGGACCUACGAAAGACGAUUCUUUGGAAGUCUUGAUCUUCCUUGUGGACGAGAAUUUGGCGAUACAUC